rnacentral:rRNA from 1 species
UCGAGAAUCUUCGGCAAUGGACGCAAGUCUGACCGAGCGACGCCGCGUGCGGGAUGAAGGCCCUCGGGUUGUAAACCGCUGUCAGUUGGGAGGAAAUCCAUGGUGGUUCUCCAUCAUGGUUGACCGAUCUUCAGAGGAAGGACGGGCUAAGUUCGUGCCAGCAGCCGCGGUAACACGAACCGUCCGAACGUUAUUCGGUAUCACUGGGCUUAAAGCGUGCGUAGGCGGCUUGGUAGGUGAGAUGUGAAAGCCCACGGCCCAACCGUGGAAUUGCGAUUCAAACCCCCAAGCUCGAGGAAGAUAGGGGUGAUGGGAACUUAUGGUGGAGCGGUGAAAUGCGUUGAUAUCAUAGGGAACACCGGUGGCGAAAGCGCAUCACUGGAUCUUUUCUGAUGCUGAGGCACGAAAGCUAGGGUAGCGAACGGGAUUAGAUACCCGCGUAGUCC